GAAGAGGGACAAGGAACAUGGAGCGCUAGACUGGGAACAGAAGCCCAACUCCAGACACUUCAUCCCACUGCUGGUGCUGGCUCUGUCUCUGGGAGCGGGUGAAGGAAAAGAAUCCUCCUGCCCUAUUCUAGGGCUGGAAUCCAGAUCCCUCGGAGCAGGCCUAGGGCGGUUCCAGAGCCUGCCCCAACGCCAUGGGUUUGCUACGGACCCAGCAGCUUCCCACGGACCAGUCCGAAGCCGGGCCUGAGCUCCAUCACCCCUCCCGGCGUCAGCCCCAGAGCGGGCACCUGAGGACGGGGAGCUGGGGAGCUGGCGGCCUGCCCUCGGCUCCAGCCUGCUCCCUCAACUCAGCUCCGGGUGCAGGGGGGAAGCCCACAGAAGAGCAGCUUCAGCGGGAAUGCUCAGCUACAGCUGCGGUUCCAGAAGCCCCCAUGCAUCUCGCCAGCUCUCGGCUAUCUGCUACCUUCCUACCGGGGAGAUGGCUCCCCCCCCCUCCGCCGCCAGCAGCCCUGUGUUACAACGCACCCCUUUUGCAAACUGGGGGUUCCUGGUUCUAAUUUGGUUCAGAUCCUUUAAGGGCAGUGUCCGACCAAGGGGAAGUGCUGGAUUUGCAUUUCAGCCAAUGAAGGGCAAAGAGACCAAGAAUCAAGUGCAGACCCUGAAAAAUACUCUUCCUACCAAAGAGGUGGAGACACCAAGCAUGAAAUGCAGCCCUUGUCAGUUUCUGGGACAGGCUGGGGACCUAAAACAGCCACAAAGAAACUCACAGUAACUGUACAGAUUACACCCUGAACCCAUCAGCCUUUCCUACUUUUUUUUUUUUUUUUUUUUGGUCUGUUGAACUCUUGGACGACCUCCUCCCCUUGUCCCGGUUCAGGGCGGCAAGCACCAGAUCCAGCAGAGCUGGGUCCUGUCCAGGCCGUCCCUCCCCCCGGCUCCGGGGCUUCUGUGGGAGCUGAAGCCAAAGUGACAGGGGCUUCUUCUGAACGUACCGUGAAAAAACCCCAAACCCAACACUCAGCCACCUGCACCUUUCCCCAGCAAAACAGGGCAGAAAUUACCCUCCACCCGCAGCCCCUUCUGCAGAAUUUUAGAAGCCCCAGUAUGAGCCCAGGAACUUCCCCUCCUCCCUACAGCCCCCCCAUCUCCCCUCCCCCAGAUCCAUGGACACCCCCCCCCCCCGAACUUGGAACUGUGUGGACUCCCAGGGCAGAUGAAACUCUCAAAGGAAAGAAGGGAAGAGAAAAACAGCUCGUUCCUACUGCCAGCGGUCACAGGCUGCCCUGCCUUCCUGACCUGGGCGUCAGGGGCCCACCGAGGGCAGGCCUAGUCACUUACUCCCGACCCCAGGGGCACUGGAAGGGGGUGCCAAGGAGGCAGCCGGGAGGGCCCCAGGGAUCACCGAGGCUCCUACCUCCUCCGCCAGGAACCCCUGGCUUCCCACUUCCCCUCAGCCUACAUGUCAUUAUUUGUCAGGUUUCAAAGUCCAAAUAAGGUGAACUCAAGAGGGGCUCCCCUAACCUCCGGCUGUCACCCCUCCCCGGCCUCCGCUCUGGGUUACAAGCACGACUUGCCCCGAAACAGAAAGUUACACGGCAGGCUGCUGUCAGCGCGCAGGAAGGUUAGGGAAACAGGAAGCCACGCCAACCACCCUCCGGAGCUUCCCCCGGCCCCCUCCUCCGACCUCGGCAGGAACAAAACCUUCCAGGGAAGCCCGGGCAGGAAGGGGGGCGGGGGGCAGGCGCGCCACGCUCGCGCAGAGACGGCGCGAGGGGCCGGCUGGAGGCAGGGGAAAAUAAGCCCCAGGCUGGGGGCGGGAGGGGGGCGCAUGCCACCCGAUCGGGGCGGCCUGCAGCAAAGUAACUUCGCAGCCGGUGCUUAAUUCACCCAGGAAGGCAGCGGGUCUCGCUGCGCCGCCGCGGCGGAGCCGGCUCGGGGCAGACAAAAGGAGCGAGACGCGCAACCCCCGGCGGCGGCGCGGUGGGGGCGGCGGGCCGGGUGGGCGCUCCCCGCCGCACGUAGAGCACACACCGCCCGCUGGAUCGCAGCGGGACUCGCGCCCGCCCGCUGGGGGCUCUGCCGAUCCCGCCGCCCCGGACUCCGGCUGCGGGUCUGGGGGGUCGGGAGGGGCGGGGGUCCGGGACGCGCCGGCGCCGCGCGGGACCCGGGGAGGCGCACAGCUCGCUUACCUGGUAAGUAAUACAGAGGCGGCUUCAAUCCAAACAUGAUUCAGAUUAGAAUUCCAUAGUGGCCAGAGAGGGAUGAAGAAGGGGGGAAAAAAAAUUUUUUUUUUAAACCCAGCAAUGAGACAAAAAGCGCCGUCCGAGCCAAGGCGCUCAAAAAUGUCCAAAACAAUAAAAUAAAGACAGAAGAGCGAUCCCGAGAGCGACGGAGAAAAAUGUCUUUUUUCUUUUUUUUCCCUCCCUAAGAUGAUGAAAGGGCUCUCUCUCGGGCCAGCGCCCGGGCAGUUUCGGCCACCUCGGCCCGGGCAGAUCCACAAUGGGGUGACUGACGACCGAGGACGGGCCGGAGCCUCCACGGCUGCCCGGUGUCUUCGCCGCCGCGUGUGUAUUUUCUGCCUUUUGGACUUGAGAUGCAAAUAAAAAAAGGAGGGGGGCGCACGGCGGAGGGAAGCAGGCGGGAGAGCGGAGAGGAGCGCGAGAAAAAUAAAGGGGGGAGGUGAGGGUGAUGAAAUUGGGGGGUUAAGAUCUUCAGGGAUUACUCAUUUGAAAGAAAAAAAGGAGAAGGGGGGGGGAAGCAGCCCCAAGACGUGCGAGUAGCAAUCUCUCCUCCAUUCAGCCAUUUGAAUGUCAAGGGCGAGGGUCAAGGGACCUGUUUCCAACAGGGUUUCACGUUCAGAACC